AGCGCCAUUUAGUGUUUAUUCUUAUACGAUUACUUUUGCAUGCCUUUUUUUGUUGGACAAAAUGUUCACGAAUUUGUUUUUUUGGGGGUGAGUAAAUUUUUUUGUUAUCCACAUUACAUUAGGAGUCACUUGGAUUUAUCCUUGCCCAAUUGGAAAUAAAGCAUUGUCGGGAUGGGAGAUAUUGUAGUGCAAUGUAAAAGUAAACCGCUAGUAACCACUGGUAAUACAUGGAGAUUUUGUGAAUCCUUCGUAACUCAAAGCCAAAAGUUCUUCCACUAGACAUGUAGAAUUAGGUAUCUGCCAAUAAAAAUCUACUGUUUAGUUACUAUUCGUUAGGAUUUUACGAGAUUCCUU